UUUUUUUUACACAUACGGAGAAAAGAACUAACAAGGAUUCCCCUAGUAACUGCGAGUGAAGCGGGAAGAGCUCAAAUUUAAAAUCCGGCGGUCUUCUGGCCGUCUGAGUUGUAAUCUGGAGAAGUGUUUUCCGCGUCGGACCGUGUACAAGUCUCCUGGAACGGAGCGUCAUAGAGGGUGAGAAUCCCGUCCAUGACACGGACCACCGAUGCUUUGUGAUACGCUCUCGAAGAGUCGAGUUGUUUGGGAAUGCAGCUCAAAAUGGGUGGUAAAUUCCAUCUAAAGCUAAAUAUUGGCGAGAGACCGAUAGCGAACAAGUACCGUGAGGGAAAGAUGAAAAGCACUUUGGAAAGAGAGUUAAACAGUACGUGAAAUUGUUGAAAGGGAAACGCUUGAAGUCAGUCGCGUCUCACGGAACUCAGCCUUACUUCGGUUUGGUGUACUUUCUGUGUGGACGGGUCAACGUCAAUUUUGGUCGGCGGAGAAAGGUUGAGGGAAUGUGGCGUUGUUUUGGCGACGUGUUAUAGCCCUCUUCUGCAUACGUCGGCUGGGAUUGAGGACCGCAGCGCGCCUUUAAUGGCCGGGGGUUCGCCCUACGUACCGCGCUUAGGAUGUUGGCAUAAUGGCUUUAAGCGACCCGUCUUGAAACACGGACCAAGGAGUCUAACAUGCUUGCGAGUGUUCGGGUGGAAAACCCUUGCGCGUAAUGAAAGUGAAAGUUGGGAGCCUCCGCAAGGGGGUGCACCGACGCCCGGCCCUGAAGUUCUCUGACGGUGCUGCGGUAGAGCACGUAUGUUGGGACCCGAAAGAUGGUGAACUAUGCCUGAAUAGGGCGAAGCCAGAGGAAACUCUGGUGGAGGCUCGUAGCGAUUCUGACGUGCAAAUCGAUCGUCAAAUUUGGGUAUAGGGGCGAAAGACUAACGAACAAUUGCAGUGCCUGGAAA
rnacentral:rRNA from 1 species